CGGGAACUGAGACACGGUCCAGACACCUACGGGUGGCAGCAGUCGAGAAUUUUUCUCAAUGGGGGAAAUCCUGAAGGAGCGACGCCGCGUGGAGGAUGAAGGUCUUCGGAUUGUAAACUCCUGUCAUUUGGGAACAAAUACCUGAUUUAACUGAUUAGGAACUGAUAGUACCAGAAGAGGAAGAGACGGCUAACUCUGUGCCAGCAGCCGCGGUAAUACAGAGGUCUCAACCGUUGUUCGGAUUCAUUGGGCGUAAAGGGUGCGUAGGCGGUCGCGCAAGUCGGAUGUGAAAUCUUAGGGCUCAACCCUGAAACUGCAUUCGAUACUGCGUGGCUUGAGUACUGGAGAGGAGACUGGAAUUUACGGUGUAGCAGUGAAAUGCGUAGAUAUCGUAAGGAAGACCAGUGGCGAAGGCGAGUCUCUGGACAGUUACUGACGCUGAGGCACGAAGGCCAGGGGAGCAAACGGGAUUAGAUACCCCGGUAGUCCUGGCAGUAAACGGUGUACGUUUGGUGUAGGCGGAUUCGACCCCGCCUGUGCCGGAGCUAACGCGUUAAACGUACCGCCUGGGAAGUACGGUCGCAAGAUUAAAACUCAAAGAAAUUGACGGGGGCCCGCACAAGCGGUGGAGUAUGUGGCUUAAUUCGAUACUACGCGAAGAACCUUACCAGGGUUUGACAUGUAUCUCUAAGUCGGUGAAAGCCGGCGAGUUGUAGCAAUACAACGAUUUACACAGGUGCUGCAUGGCUGUCGUCAGCUCGUGUCGUGAGAUGUUGGGUUAAGUCCCGCAACGAGCGCAACCCUUACGUCCUGUUGCCACUCCUUAAUUGGAAGCACUCUGGACGGACUGCCCUGUGAAACGGGGAGGAAGGUGAGGAUGACGUCAAGUCAGCAUGGCCCUUACACCCUGGGCUGCACACGUACUACAAUGCUCAGUACAAUAUGAGCCGAAACCGCGAGGUGGAGGAAAUCGAUAAAACUGAGCCCAAUUCGGAUCGCAGGCUGCAACUCGCCUGCGUGAAGCCGGAAUCGCUAGUAAUGCCGUAUCAGCUACGACGGCGUGAAUACGUUCCCGGGCCUUGUACACACCGCCCGUCACAUCAUGGGAGUCGUUUGCACCCGAAGUACACCAAUGGUGUCCUACGGUAUGAGCGGUAACUGGGAUGAAGUCGUAACAAGGUAGCCGUAGGGGAACCUGCGGCUG
rnacentral:rRNA from 1 species